rnacentral:rRNA from 1 species
GGAAAAGAAACUAACAAGGAUUCCCCUAGUAGCGGCGAGCGAAGCGGGAAGAGCUCAAAUUUAUAAUCUGGCGCUUUCGGCGUCCGAGUUGUAAUCUCUAGAAGUGUUUUCCGCGUUGGACCGCACAUAAGUCUGUUGGAAUACAGCGGCACAGUGGUGAGACCCCCGUUCACGGUGCGGAUGCCCAAUGCUUUGUGAUACACUUUCGAAGAGUCGAGUUGUUUGGGAAUGCAGCUCAAAUUGGGUGGUAAAUUCCAUCUAAAGCUAAAUAUUGGCGAGAGACCGAUAGCGAACAAGUACCGUGAGGGAAAGAUGAAAAGCACUUUGGAAAGAGAGUUAACAGUACGUGAAAUUGUUGGAAGGGAAACGCUUGAAGUCAGACUUGCUAUUCGGGGCUUGCUCCGAGUUGCAGGCCAGCAUCAGUUUUUCGGGGCGGAAAAUCACGGAUUGAAGGUAGCAGUUUCGGCUGUGUUAUAGCUUUCCGUUGGAUACGUCCUGGGGGACUGAGGAACGCAGUGUGCUUUUAGCGAGGGCUUCGGCUCUUUCACACUUAGGAUGCUGGUGGAAUGGCUUUAAACGACCCGUCUUG